rnacentral:lncRNA from 1 species
CUCCAUCCUUACUCCCUGCCCUCCUUCCUUACUCCUUGUCCUCUAUCCUUACUCCCUGUCCUCCAUCCCCGCUCCCUGUCCUCCAUCCUUGUUCCGUACCCUCCAUCCCCGCUCCCUGUCCUCCAUCCUUGUUCCAUACCCUCCAUCCCCGCUCCCUGUCCUCCAUCCUUGUUCCAUACCCUCCAUCCCCGCUCCCUGUCCUCCAUCCUCACUCCUUGUCCUCCCCUAUUGCCCCAGAGACGCAAAAUGGACCUCACUUCACCAGCAGCCCACAUGGGCACCCAGAGAGCUGCAUUUCUCCAAAGCCUGGACGCAGAGAAGCUUGGGAGAACCUCUGCGAGUGGGACAAGGAAUGCCCACCAUCCUUAUAUCCUCCUCUGUCCCUGCCCUGAAGAUGGCGAAGGUGGCAACCAAGCGGAAGGGCACGAAGUCAGCACAGCUUCAGCCCGGCACGCACAGAACACCAUUCCCACCAGCAAAAAGCCACCUCCGGUCUCCCAGAGCUCUUCUCAAUUUCGAACAGCUUCAGAACUCAUCUCACUGAGGGUUCCUCAAUGCCUCCUGGAUCCCUCCGGGUCAUCCCGGCCCCUCCUGGGUCCCUCCCAGCCCAGCAGCGCAGAGCCCACGCUGACGCUGGAGCACAGACGAAUCCCUCUCGGCUCACUUUUCAGGUGAAGCAAACUGAAUCCCAGCAAGGGGAGGCUGGAAAUGCUCCAGCCUACGGCGGGUCCCACCUCUUCAACGGCUGUGUUCCAUCACCAGAGAGCCAGCGUGUGCUCCAGGGAGCAGCCCGCGGCACCUGCCGGGAUUGCGCAGUGCCAACAGCCGUCAGCUCUGACAAGGCCUGACACUCUUAUUGCUGCACAUGGCCAGUUACGGUAAUACGAAAGGACUCCUGUCCUCCUGAGCCCGCCGUGAUUGAAUUAACAUGAUCACCCUUUUUUUGCCAGUAACGUAGACCUGGGUUUUUUUGGGUUUUUUUCUCCUUAAAUCAAUAAGACACGUCGUUUGCAAGAGGCUUUUAUCGUGCCGUGUUCACACAAGCCUGUGAGCCCGACCCCCCCUCACACCUCCAUCAGUGACAGCGAUGUGUCAAUGGGCACCGUUCUGCUCGCUGGAUGACGCUGAGCUCUGCUGAGGAUCUGCCCCUGCUGCCAGCCCAAAAGAACGUGAACAACGCUCCCCCAAGGAGCAGCAAGGGGAAAAGAACGCUGCUUUCCAAGGCGCCGGGUAGAGUUUGGGUGCUGGACCAGAUGGGGGUUGGAGCUUGAUGAUCCUUGAGGUGCCUUCCAACCUGGGCCUUUCUAAGACCUUGGAAGGUCCCUUCCAACCCAAAUGAUGGGUGGGAAUUACGAGGGCAGAGUGGGAAUCCAGCAAAGUGACCCCAGGGAGCACAGCUGUGCUUCAGGAGCUCCUCCUCCUCCCGGCGACGGUGGUUGGACUGCCCAAAGCAACGCUGAGUGGGGGGACGGGGGAGAACCCGAACGGAAAGGAUGCCAAAGACACCCAGAGCGGCCAAGUUGGAAAGUAAAGAGCAGGAAUUCGUAGGGGGAUGGGAUGCGGGCUAACAAUGAAGAGCAAAGCUCAGCCACGGCUUCUGCCAGCGCUGCUUGGAGAGGUUGUAUGGGACACAACAUGAGCACGGUUGGCAAGCCUGGUGGGGAUGGGCUGGUUGGAUGUGGGGAUGUUGGAGGUCAUUGCCAGCCUUAAUGGCUCCGAUUCUCUGAGCAAACACGGUGGGGAUGGGUUGGUGGUUGGAUUUGGGGAUCUUGGAGGUCAUUGCCAGCCUUAAUGACUCCGAUUCUACGAGCAAACACGGUGGGGAUGGGUUGGUGGUUGGAUUUGGGGAUCUUGGAGGUCAUUGCCAGCCUUAAUGACUCCGAUUCUAUGAGCAAACACAGUGGGGAUGGGUUGGCGGUUGGAUUUGGGGAUCUUGGAGGUCAUUUCCAACCUUAAUGACUCUGAUUCUACAAGCAAAACAUGUGGGGAUGGGUUGGCGGUUGGAUUUGGGGAUCUUGGAGGUCAUUUCCAACCUUAAUGACUCUGAUUCUACAAGCAAAACAUGGUGGGGAUGGGUUGGUGGUUGGAUUUGGGGAUCUUGGAGGUCAUUGCCAGCCUUAAUGACUCCGAUUCUAUGAGCAAACACGGUGGGGAUGGGUUGGUGGUUGGAUUUGGGGAUCUUGGAGGUCACUUCCAACCUUAAUGACUCCGAUUCUCUGAGCAAACACGUUGGGGAUGGGUUGGCGGUUGGAUUUGGGGAUCUUGGAGGUCAUUUCCAACCUUAAUGGCUCCGAUUCUCUGAGCAAACACGGUGGGGAUGGGUUGGUGGUUGGAUCUGGGGAUGUUGGAGGUCAUUGCCAGCCUUAAUGACUCCGAUUCUACAAGCAAAACAUGGUGGGGAUGGGUUGGUGUUGAUUUGGGGAUCUUGGAGGUCAUUUCCAACCACGGUGUUUCCACACUUCGGUCGCUGUACAACAGAUGUUGGCCGAUGAGGUCCAUUUUGCUGCCUGAAGGAGUCCGGAUGCAGGUGAGCGCUGCGCCGGGCCACCAGAAUCAGCGGUUUGUAAGGUUCUCAAUGACCAAGACAGACCUUGGAGGUCUCUUCCUUCAUCAUUCUACGACUCCACGGCUCGGGAUCUCCUUUCUUAGCUGCCUCAGUGGACGGUGCUGGCGCACAUGGGCUCGGGAAAGCCUCCUGUCCUCCACAGCCCCUUACAGAACAAGCUGGCUGAUCCUACUGGGGACGAAGGUCGGUGCUGCCCACCCUCUGCCUGCACAGCAGCACGACGGGAAGGGAAAGCGAAGACCCACCUCCUCUCUCACUCCCUCCACGCGUGCGGAGCUGUUAAACACCCCAAACACAACGUCACCGUGCCCACGACCACUCCGAGAGGGACCUAAUUUGCUCCCCUGCCCUACGGGGGAACUACCCUUAAGCACUCGGCCGCUCGCACGCUUAUUGC